rnacentral:rRNA from 1 species
UACAGGGGGUGCAAACGUUGCUCGGAAUCAUUGGGCGUAAAGCGCACGUAGGCGGUUCGUUAUGUCGGAUGUGAAAGCCCUUGGCUUAACCGAGGAAGUGCAUCCGAAACUGGCGAGCUAGAGUACGAAAGAGGAUCGCGGAAUUCCCGGUGUAGAGGUGAAAUUCGUAGAUAUCGGGAGGAACACCGGUGGCGAAGGCGGCGAUCUGGGUCGAUACUGACGCUGAGGUGCGAAAGCUAGGGGAGCGAACAGG